AGUGAACGCUGGCGGUAGGCCUAACACAUGCAAGUCGAACGGCAGCACAGUAAGAGCUUGCUCUUACGGGUGGCGAGUGGCGGACGGGUGAGGAAUACAUCGGAAUCUACUUUUUCGUGGGGGAUAACGUAGGGAAACUUACGCUAAUACCGCAUACGACCUACGGGUGAAAGCAGGGGAUCUUCGGACCUUGCGCGAUUGAAUGAGCCGAUGUCGGAUUAGCUAGUUGGCGGGGUAAAGGCCCACCAAGGCGACGAUCCGUAGCUGGUCUGAGAGGAUGAUCAGCCACACUGGAACUGAGACACGGUCCAGACUCCUACGGGAGGCAGCAGUGGGGAAUAUUGGACAAUGGGCGAAAGCCUGAUCCAGCCAUACCGCGUGGGUGAAGAAGGCCUUCGGGUUGUAAAGCCCUUUUGUUGGGAAAGAAAAGCAGCAGGUUAAUACCCCGCUGUUCUGACGGUGCCCAAAGAAUAAGCACCGGCUAACUUCGUG
rnacentral:rRNA from 1 species